GACGAACGCUGGCGGCGUGCUUAACACAUGCAAGUCGAACGGUGAAGGGGCCUGCUUUUGUGGGUCCUGGAUGAGUGGCGAACGGGUGAGUAACACGUGAGUAACCUGCCCCCUUCUUCUGGAUAACCGCAUGAGAGUGUGGCUAAUACGGGAUAUUCUGUGCCUGCUGCAUGGUGGGUGUGGGAAAGAUUGCGCCCUUUUUGGGUGUUUUUGGUGGGGGAUGGGCUCGCGGCCUAUCAGCUUGUUGGUGGGGUGAUGGCCUACCAAGGCGGUGACGGGUAGCCGGCCUGAGAGGGUGGACGGUCACACUGGGACUGAGACACGGCCCAGACUCCUACGGGAGGCAGCAGUGGGGAAUAUUGCACAAUGGGCGCAAGCCUGAUGCAGCGACGCCGCGUGAGGGAUGGAGGCCUUCGGGUUGUGAACCUCUUUCGCCAGUGAAGCAGGCCUGCUUCCUUGGUGGGUGGGUUGACGGUAGCUGGAUAAGAAAGC
rnacentral:rRNA from 1 species